GGGGAGUGAGCAGACACACUCAGGAGGUGUCUUGAGAUUAUCAUCCGCUGAGGGUGGAGCUGAGGGUGGAAGGGGAGUGAGCAGACACUCGGGAGGUGUCUUGAGAUUAUCAUCCGCUGAGGGUGGAAGGGGAUAGAGCAGGCACUCGGCAGGUGUCUUGAGAUUAUCAUCCGCUGAGGGUGGAGCUGAGGGUGGAAGGGGAGUGAGCAGACACUCGGGAGGUGUCUUGAGAUUAUCAUCCGCUGAGGGUGGAAGGGGAUAGAGCACACACUCGGAAGGUGUCUUGAGGCUCAGGGAGUUAUCAAUUAUAGAAUGUUGUUG
rnacentral:lncRNA from 1 species